UCCCAUGCAGACUGCAGCAACAUCAACACAAAGCUCCCCGCUGUGAAGGCUUUGAAUCGUGACCAGACAGCCAGGAAAAACAGAAAAGGGAGCGCCGUGUCAUUUUCUCCACGCAGGACGUAGUGAGCCGGAGCAAGUUCUUGAUGGCCGACUGUGAGAGAGGAGACGUGGACACUGUGCGGUGGGCUGGACAGCGCAAAGUUUUGCCCUCGCGACCGAGAGCCUCGGGCCAAGUGGGAGCGAGGGAGCUCCAGACGGAUUGUGGGACAAUUCGUUGCUGAUGUGAUCAUCAAAUAAAGAGCUGUGGCAAAUAUU